rnacentral:rRNA from 1 species
GGUGAACGCUGGCGGCGUGCCUAAUACAUGCAAGUCGAGCGAACAGACGAGGAGCUUGCUCCUCUGACGUUAGCGGCGGACGGGUGAGUAACACGUGGAUAACCUACCUAUAAGACUGGGAUAACUUCGGGAAACCGGAGCUAAUACCGGAUAAUAUAUUGAACCGCAUGGUUCAAUAGUGAAAGACGGUUUUGCUGUCACUUAUAGAUGGAUCCGCGCCGCAUUAGCUAGUUGGUAAGGUAACGGCUUACCAAGGCAACGAUGCGUAGCCGACCUGAGAGGGUGAUCGGCCACACUGGAACUGAGACACGGUCCAGACUCCUACGGGAGGCAGCAGUAGGGAAUCUUCCGCAAUGGGCGAAAGCUUGACGGAGCAACGCCGCGUGAGUGAUGAAGGUCUUCGGAUCGUAAAACUCUGUUAUUAGGGAAGAACAAAUGUGUAAGUAACUAUGCACGUCUUGACGGUACCUAAUCAGAAAGCCACGGCUAACUACGUG